rnacentral:lncRNA from 1 species
AGGGUCAGGGAGUCAAGGUGGGGCCCUACAGGUCACCUCCUGGCCCACAGCCCCUCCCUGGCCAUGUCAGCCCCUAACUCCCCAGGCAGUUGUGGGUGUGGGUGGCAGGUCAGCAUUUCGAGCUUUGCCCUCCUGCCACUGCCUGUCCUGGCCACUCAUCAGAGCCUGUCCUCUGGAAAACAAGACAAAGGACGUGAUUUCACAAGUGCCUGGGCCAGAAUCUCAAAUUCAGGAUUAAGAAAAAGAAGGAUUGGCUGGGCACGGUGGCUCCUG